UACAGAGGGGGCAAGCGUUAUUCGGAAUUAUUGGGCGUAAAGGGCGCGUAGGCGGCCUGACAAGUGGAAGGUGAAAUCCCUCGGCUUAACCGAGGAACUGCCCUCCAAACUGUUUGGCUUGAGACCGGGAGAGGUGAGUGGAAUUCCUGGUGUAGCGGUGAAAUGCGCAGAUAUCAGGAAGAACACCAAUGGCGAAAGCAGCUCUCUGGGACGGUACUGACGCUGAGACGCGAAAGCGUGGGGAGCGAACAGG
rnacentral:rRNA from 1 species